GCUCUCCACCCCACUUCUUCCUUCACCAGGUUUACCCCCUCCACACACACACAGCAAAAGAGCUCUGGACUCUUCUAGAUGACUCUGUAGGUCCUGAGUGGCCAGGAGAUGAUGAUCAAACAAUGGCGUUGACAGUUGCCUAGGAGCAUAAACAAAGAAAGAAGUCACCUGCGACUUUUCUUCCCUAAUAGUCAUGUUUGCAUGUGCCUGCACAUAGCCAUAGAGACAGCAUAGAGUAUAACAUGUAAUAUUUGAUACACACACACACACAUAUAUAUAUACAUAUAUAUAUACUUAUUUUUACUUUUCUGGAAAAGCUAUUUGAUUUUUCUGAGAUUUCUUUGUAAAUUAGACAAUGGAGGCAGUUAUCUCACUGUCAUAGGGGGUAAAUGUGGUAAGGGGUAAGGCGCCUGACUCACAGGGGGCAUGAGGCAAAUGCUGGUGUCCACUGUAUUUAUCCUCAGCAUCACUUCCCUGUGGAAGUGGUACCUCAACCCUUUCGUGUCUGUUGUGAAGCACAGCUCAGGUCCUCCAUCACUCAGGAGUGAGGAGUAGAGUUGAUGGAAUUCAAGUGCUGAACUAAAAGGCUUGGAAGAGCAUGCGAUUCUGGGAGUCAGUGUGCAAGGGCAUCUCAGGGUCUGGCAAGAGCUGUUCCUGAAAUGACUGCAGAAGUAAGGGGGUCCUGGAACUCCCACCAUGGUUCCAGGUCGAUUCCAAAUGAAACAUCCUUUAACAACAACUACCACUCCCAGCAGGAAUGCUGGGACAGGAGAUCCAUCAGCAACCCACAGAACCAAGGGAACCCCUCGCUUUCAUAAGCUUUUAAAAGGAAAGGGCCUUUGACUCAGGUGAGGCUUCACUACAAGGUGAGUAUGCCGUCAGGCUGCUUCAGAUCUUAGCUCUCAAUAGUGCUGCAUUCAUAGGCUCAAGGCCUGAAUCUCGAGUGGACUUUUUCUUGGGCUGACUCUAAGAGAGAGGAGUUCAGAGCUCAGAGAUAUGAUAGUUUCCUGCUGAAGGACCACACUUCCCAGCUUCCUUUGCGGACUCUGGAAGUCGGUUCCGCCAUUAUGAGGCAGCCUCAUCCCAUCUUCUGUAAGCAUUUUGGCCAUUGGCUUAAGGUCAGGGCAAGCUUCUCUUUCUUUCUGCCUUCGGUCUUUCUAUCAGCUGCCUUAAGUAAUGCAACAUGAUACGAGGCUGUAACUAAGUGAAAGGUUAGCGAGAAAAACAGACACAAGAGAAUGUAUGACUUAAGACAGCGCAAGCCCUUAUUUUGGGGGGAAAGCCUGCAGAGGGGCCUCUGUAAGAUCAGAGCUCACAAGCUGAGGUAGUAAUGGGGCAGAGAGGAGGCUGGAGGAAGUUGAAGUCUCCUUUGCUGGCCCCACUAUUGGCUAUGGGCUAACCAAUGAGUUAGUAAAAGAAUGUCAGGUAAUUGAUAAGCAUACCCGGAGGCUGGCCAUUACAUGGGGUCCCUAGAGCAAGACAGUCAAGAAUAUAGAGAAACGAGUUACUUUGCGGAGCUAAUUACCAUAGUUAUGGGAAAUGCCACAGUUCACCCAAAAUGGAGGAGUUUUACAAAAUGUCCUGGCCCUGGCUAACGUGCAGGUUGGUUCCUGCCUGGGAUGGCAAAAAAGUUUGCAGGGUCAUGUGGGUAAUUCCCCGUACAGUGACAGCGUUUGGGAUCUAACAUUGAGAAACUGGAGCCUAAAUUGCAAUGGCCACCCCAUGUGGUAGAGAUGCAGGAAAUACAGAAUGCAUCCUAAGGAAAGCUGAGCCCAGUGGAGCCAGCCCAAGAGAAAGACCACGCGUGCUUCCGGUCACGGAGCUACAGAUGCAGCACUGUCCAGAUGCCCCUUCCAUGAACCCCACAGGUCAGAUUCACCGCAGACGGACUAGUGUUUGUCCUACAGCGUUUCUUUAGUUAGUAUUUCUUUUCUAUGCUCUUGUUCUCCCUAUUUAAAAUGGGUAUGUUUACACCGGUGCAAUCAGCUUUGGGAAGCCUUGAUUUAACGGGGCCUCGUGGCUAAGACUUAGAUCUAUUUCAGAAGAGACUCGAUUCGGAUAUUUGAAUAACACAGGGGCUGGUAAGGCUGGGACUUCUUGAAGUCGAGCUGAGGACAUUUCUCCUUAGGAGGUGGCCGUGAGGCUAUGGCAGCUAGGGAGGACCGUUAAGGUUUGGAUAUGCAAUGGCCGUUAUGGGUUCGCAUGUUUGAACAUUUGGUCUGGAGCUGGUGGAGAUGAUUUGGGAGGCUCUGGAACCUUUUGGGCAUGAGGCCUAGGUGAUGGCCGUAGGAUUCCAGGGGUGGAGCCCGAGAGUUACAGGCUCCCUGCUUCCAGUGAUCAGCACCGUAUUACAAGCAGCUGCUUCAGGCUUCUGCCACCACAGACAGGCGUGGUCCCACUACCAUGCCUCUCCCACCAUGACCAACUAUGAAUGUGAACGAAAACUAAACCUAUCCUUUCCUAACGUGUCUCUUAGGUGUUUCGCCACAGUGAAAGCUGCCUCUCUUAAUUAACUUAGCCUAAUAAAGCCCAGCCGUUGAGAUUAUUUUUAAAAAAAUCAUAAGAACACAAAUCCGCACUCUUUUGAAGCUAUUACUAAUUAUCUGAGAUAUUUUCAGUCAGUCGGAGAACAGAUCUGACGUUGCUACACUAUACUCGUGGACAGUGGACAUUCGCUUUGGUUCAUCUGCAACACAGAGCGUGUAAUGAAAGUGGUCAGCGAGGGCUUCAAGCAUUAACGUCAACCUGCUAUGCUGAGAUCGAGUCUGUAGGUGGCAGCACAAACUCGGGUAUGGAGGAAAUGGCACCAAGUUUAGUUUUAGUGGCCUCAAGAAGACCUGGAUGCCGUAAAAAGACAGUAUUUUACUUUCUUCACUGCACCAUUUGGAGCCUUUUAAGAUCACAAAUAGUAACUUGAAACUAUA